GGCUUUAUAGUCAAUAAUGAUAUUAGACUGCAAUUCUAAAGGAGGAAUUUUUUCCUAAGGCUU
rnacentral:tRNA from 1 species